UACGAAGGGGGCUAGCGUUGCUCGGAAUCACUGGGCGUAAAGCGCACGUAGGCGGAUCGAUCAGUCAGGGGUGAAAUCCCAGAGCUCAACUCUGGAACUGCCUUUGAUACUGUCGAUCUGGAGUAUGGAAGAGGGUGAGUGGAAUUCCGAGUGUAGAGGUGAAAUUCGUAGAUAUUCGCAAGAACACCAGUGGCGAAGGCGGCUCACUGGCCCGAUACUGACGCUGAGGCACGAAAGCGUGGGGAGCAAACAGG
rnacentral:rRNA from 1 species